UACGGGGGGAGCAAGCGUUGUUCGGAUUUACUGGGCGUAAAGGGCGCGUAGGCGGUCAGCACAAGUCAGUUGUGAAAUCUCCGAGCUUAACUCGGAAAGGUCAACUGAUACUGUGCGACUAGAGUGUGGUAGGGGAGACUGGAAUUCCUGGUGUAGCGGUGAAAUGCGCAGAUAUCAGGAGGAACACCGAUGGCGAAGGCAGGUCUCUGGGCCACUACUGACGCUGAGACGCGAAAGCGUGGGGAGCGAACAGG
rnacentral:rRNA from 1 species